GGAUGGGGCUUGCGGAGGAAUGGGGAGCACGCGAGGGGGCUGCAAAGGGUUCUGUCUUUGGAUUCCGUUGGAAGCCCCUGGAUGUGCCUGCGUCACGUGGACAGCCAGCUAGCUGCUCAUGGACAGAGUCGUGUCUGGAUUGGACGGCCAGCGCUUUGCUCUGUCUUGCAUUUCCACAUCCCAGGGACACUUUGCAGGCAGUCCUCACCCUCUCACAACCGGUCCUCCCUCUCUGCUCCAUGCCACCAACACUGAGAGGAAGAGACAGCCAAACUCGAACUGAACCAGGAAAAACACCAGCCCCGAGCUCCGGAGACGGCCAGUCCCAGCCCUGAAUUUACGGAGGAGGAAAUGAGAUCCAGAUGGGAGUAACCUGGAAUUCUCAGAGCUGGGAUCCAUUCUGCACAGCCUCGCUGGCUCCUCAGCCCAGACAGGAGGAAUAAACAAAAAUCACCCAGGGGCAGCAUCAUGGUGCUGUCUGUGAUGCCAGCAUGCGAUACGGGCACCAGUUCGAAUCCCGGUUGCUCCACUUCUGAUCCAGCUCCCUGCUAAUGCACCUGAGAAAGCAGCAGAUGAUGGCUCAAGUACCUGGGCCCCUGCAUCCACGUGGGAGACCCAGAUGGAAUUCCAAGCUCCUGGCUUCCGGCCUGGCCCAGCCUUUACUGUUGUGACCACUUGGGAAGUGAACCAGAGGAUGGACUCUCUCUCUCUCUCCCCGCCCCUCUCCCUCCCUUUCAAAUAAAUAAAUAAAUAAAUCUUUAGAAAAAAAAAUGACCUCAUUUAUCUUAUCUGUAAAAUGGGGGUCAUUAUCUAUACUUCCCAAGGAAUUCUAAAGAUCUUUGAAUUCUCCAGGCAUAAAACCCUGCAGGAAUGGGGUUCCCAUCCAUCAUCACACUGUUCCCUCUUUACCUACUUAACCCCUCUUGCAGAUCUCAGCUCACACACACCAGGGUUUUUUGGCCCCUCCCUUCCUGCGUGCCUGUCCCCGGGACUCUCACCACUCUCCUGGUAACAGGCUAAGCCCAGGCUAGCCCAGCCCAGCCCAGCCAGGGACAUUUGCAUUUACACUUGUUGUUCCUCUGCCUGGGGGCCACCAUCCUCUUCCCUCAUCCAGGUGCUUGUGCGAAGAUCACCUUGGAGCACUUGCCCCCCACUCCUUGUCCCUCACCGCCCUGCUGCAUUCUCCCCCCUCCACACUUAGGGUCACCAACAUCCUGUCCUAGAUUUAUUGUCACUUCUCCGGCUCCCCCAGGGUGGAGGGACUUCCUGUUGUUCGCUCUUGCACCCUCCGCUCCCUGGCACUCAACAGCCCUUUGGUGAAGGGAAACGAACAAACACCAGUUUGUGAAGGUAAAGGAGUUUCCGCAGGCCAGCCUUCAGUGUCCCCCCACCCCUUUUAACCUCCCAUGUCUUUAUUUAACUUGUAACAUUUGUGGACUAGGGCUAUAAUAGAUGUAAUCCACACUUGAAGUUUGUCCUCCUUUGUAGGGUAGGUACCACCUGCUUCCAUCCGUGUAUCCAUCGUGUGAGGCUCAAAUCAGGGAAAGCAGAUCCAUCUCAAGUCUUUAUUACCUCUCUGGGUGGAAAUCCGCAACACCCUUUCUUCCAGCUUGUGGGAGUGAAAACACACAGUCCCUGCUCAUUAUCUACAGUCCCCGUGCUGGGCACUGGAACCCCGGAACUCUCUCCGGUGGGAGUGUAACCUGGCCCCCAAGCGUUCCCCUCUCUCCCUACCUGCCUUAGCCUGCCUGCUUGCCUUCCUUCCUUCCUUCCUUCCUUCCUUCCUUCCUUCCUUUCUUUCAGAUUUAUUUUAUUUAUUUGAAAGACAGAGUUACAGAGAGAGGUAGAGACAGAGAGAGAGGUUUUCCAUCUGCUGGUUCACUCCCCAAUUGGCCACGAUGGCCGGAGCUGCGCUGAUCCAAAGCCAGGGGCCAGGAGCUUCUUCCAGGUCUCCCACGUGGGUGCAGGGGCCCAAGGACUUGGGCCAUUUUCUACUGCUUUCCCAGGCCAUAGCAGAGAGCUGGAUCGGAAAAGGAGCAGCCGGGACUAGAGAUAGCGCCCAUAUGAGAUGCUCGCACUUCAGACCAAGGCUUUAACCUGCUGCGCACCACAGUGCCAGCCCCCCAGUCAUCUUUCUAACACGGUCAAAUCUCCCCCGCUCUGUGCUUUCAUGCAUCCAUGGACAAAUGAGGGAGGGAACACACAGAGGAAAGAGGACACGAGGUGUGCAGCUCCAGUGGCCACCCAGUGACAAGGGGGAUGACAAGAGCAGAGAGCCAAAAACAAACAAACAAACAAACAAACAACAAAAACCAGAAACAAAACCCUGGGUUCUAGGUGACACCAUUGAGCCCUGAAAGUAACCUGCCUCUGACUUCUGACUCUCCUAUUUUUGAGCCGCAUUGACUUGGGUCUUCAGUUCCUUGUGGCUAACAUACUCCUAAAAGCUAACUUUGUUCUGCCCAGGAAUACGGAGACUGUCUGGCAGCCAUGGGUCUCAGGCUGCUGUUUGCCCGGCCCCGCCCCCUGGGCUGGGCCUCUUGCUUGCCUCAGUUACAGGAAUUCCCAUUGUGAGGACCUUCUUGGAACGGGCUCCUGCUGAUUUGUCUCUGAGAUCAGCCUGGCCCAUGGCGUGGCUUAGGUCACCGUGAUGGUAGAAGUUGUUCGAAUGCCAUAGCUCCCACGCCCUGCUCUGGCUUUUGCUUUCAAAAGCCUGACUUUGCCAAAGGCGAUUUGCCAGAGGAGAGGGGCGGGGUGAGAGAUUCCCCAAGACUCACUGGAGUCUGCAGCCCCUCUGUUACAAUGCCCCCCGGAGUGGGGGGUGGCAGCCACCACCCCAAUU